rnacentral:rRNA from 1 species
UUCCUACGGGAGGCUGCAGUGGGGAAUAUUGGACAAUGGGCGCAAGCCUGAUCCAGCCAUGCCGCGUGAGUGAUGAAGGCCUUAGGGUUGUAAAGCUCUUUCGCCGACGAAGAUAAUGACGGUAGUCGGAGAAGAAGCCCCGGCUAACUUCGUGCCAGCAGCCGCGGUAAUACGAAGGGGGCUAGCGUUGUUCGGAAUCACUGGGCGUAAAGCGCACGUAGGCGGACAUUUAAGUCAGGGGUGAAAGCCUGUAGCUCAACUCCAGAACUGCCCUUGAUACUGGGUGUCUCGAGUCCGGAAGAGGUAAGUGGAACUGCGAGUGUAGAGGUGAAAUUCGUAGAUAUUCGCAAGAACACCAGUGGCGAAGGCGGCUUACUGGUCCGGUACUGACGCUGAGGUGCGAAAGCGUGGGGAGCAAACAGGAUUAGAUACCCCUGUAGUC